CUACUGGGACUCUUACUGGAAACAUGCUCUACUAUGGUGUUUUUACAGUUAAAUAAACACUAGGGCAGCACGGUUUGACAAGAUAGCACAAAUUGACGGAACACCGGCUCUGGUACAGUAGGAUACCUGUUGCUAGAGCAACAGCGCGGCUUCCCUCAUCCAGUUAAGCUGUAGGCUAACAAGCUAAGCUAAGCUAAGCUAAAUUAGCUGCCUUGGCUCACAGAGAGGGGAAAAGUUAUUGAACGGAGUUAUUUUGCUAGUUAGCGAGGUUAGCUAAGCUAAUUUAGUAAGUAUGCAUUUUGUUCGGCGCCCGGCAAAUUAACGACUCGCCCAGCUCCGCUUUUCCAUAUUUACUAUUUCGCCCGCUGUUUAUUUUAUCAGUGUUGAAGAGUGAACAAUCACAGAAUGCAGCCCGACUCUGCGAACAAUGUUUACCGGUCAGAGUGAGAAGCGCCUCCGCCCGGAGGUCGAGCCCCGCCGUGAGAGAGCUGUGAGGGACCCGCUUCAGCCAGCUCUUCCCCCAGGUUGUUUGGAAGAAGGCAUGCCAGAAAGACCCAAUAUCAGCCUGGAUGUUCUGAGUGAGGAACUGGAGAAACAAACCAGGGAGACACAAAAGCUUCAAGAAGAAGUUGAACAAGCCACCAGACUGACUAUGCAGAGGAUGGGUCGGACAUCUUUCAACACGGACUUGCCAGUAAACUACAGUUCAGCAACAAGUAGAUCAUCAGAAGCAUCAUCAGAACGUGGCAUUUACAGACAACCGUGCGUCCUUCGACCUACUGCCGAUCAUUUGGAUGUGAACACCGCAGGAUGUUUGAACUUCCCAGGGAAAGAUGUUCUUGAGCAGGCUGUAGAGGAGUACUCUCAGCAGGUCUCUGACCUUCAAAGGCAGAUCAGAGAGACAUAUGAGCUGCAUGACCAGCAGAAGUAUCAUUACCGCCACACCAUCAUCCAGCUACAAACCAAACUGCACGAGAACCAGAUUGAAAAAGAUGCACUGGAAGACUUAAGAGAGAAGGAAUCUACGAAGCAAUUUGAGCUAACAGGACAGUUACAGGAGACUCUUCAGGAGUUGCACAAAGUCAAGCAGAAGCUGAUGGAAGCUGAGGACAGAGCAGAGUGUUUUAGAAGACAAGCAGAGACCAUGGAGCAGAUGCUGCAUGACGUGUUCAUCAGACUCUCACAGUAUGAGAAGCGCAGUGGAAAAAGGAGCUAUCUCUGCUGUGACGGCCCCUUCAAUCCUGACAAGCUUCCGCUAGGACCAGUCCUGGAGAAAGCACUACAACAUAUUGAAAAUGAGAACUGUGGUCUCCAGGAGAAACUGCAGUCGCUGGAGAGGCAGUUGGAAGACAUUAAUAAAGAGGCGUCUGAGAGAACAGAAUCUCUUCUGGAGGAGCAGAAAGUGAAAGUGGAGCAGCUCAUUACCAGUCAUGACCAGGAGAUGGCGGCAUUGACUAAGAGCCUCUGUCGGUCUCAGAGUAAUGCAGCCAGUCUGCAACUACAGGUGGAAUUAUUACAAAAACAGGCUGAAAGCCAGACCUCCUCUCAUCAAUCCCAGAUCAGCAUUCUGGAGUCUGCUCUCUCUGUACUGCGCUCAGAACUAAUGGAGAAUCAGAAUCAGUAUCAGGCAAAGGUCAAUGCCCUGGAGGAGGCGCUGACUGUGGCUCAUUCAGAGGCUGAGCAGAUCCAGAGAGAAAGAGACCUCUCACACCAGCAGGCUGAGGAACUGGACGCUCAGCUGUGUCGACUCACGAAAGAACUACGGCAAACUGCAGAUGAGCUAUCUGUGGAGCGCCUGCAGAGGCAGCAGCUGUGGGAGAGAGGAAUGCACCAGAACCUCACCAUCCAAACCAUGAGACAGGAGCUGGAGCAGCAAGACAUCAGGAUCCAGCAGUUGGUGAGCCUUGUCCACUCCCUCAAAGAACAGUGUCAAAGACAUCUAGAGAUGCAGAUGUCAGCAGAUGCAAAGCAGCCAGAGACACAGACCGAACUGAAGCAGUUACGUGAUGAGCUGGAGCAGGUUCAGAAGGCCAGGGACGAGGCCUUGCGACUUCAAGGUCAGAGCAGCAGGGAAGCCGAGCGGUUGCAGACUCUGCUGGACCAGCAGGAGAUGGGGCUGCAGCUCCAGCAGCAGGGGGCGCAGCAGGCACGGGGGCAGUUGGAGGAGGCUCAGGCCAGGAUGCAGGAGCUGUGGGCUGAGGUGGAGGUGCUGCAGAUGAAGGUUCUGGAUGGGGAGAAGAGCACAGAGCUGCUAAGGAAGCCUUUAGGGGCUCUGCAGCAGGAGAAGGACAGCCUAGCCAAGCAGGUGCAGGAUCUCAGACAAGACAACCAACAACUGAAGGCCGCCCUGCAGGAUGCGGAAGUGAGGCUGGGUGCUUUGGGAAAAGAGAAGAUUCAGCAGCAGGCAGUGCUGUCAGCGAGAAAUCGCAGCUUUCAUCAGCUAACUCUGGAGAAACAGCAGAUGACUGCUGAGCUAGAGGAGCAGCGAUUGAAGCUGAGUGAACUUAAAGAAGAGCAGGAGGCUUUGAGAGAGCAGCACAGCAGGAAGACUGAGGAGCUACAAGAACAGAACCACAAGCUUAAAGCUCGGCUUAAUAACACUCAAACAAGCCUGGAGCAGGCCAAGAGCACCCUCAGAGCUCUAGAGGGAGCUGAUGGACACGGUCUGAAGGUAGCCUUGGGCAUGCAGAAGCAGAUCACAGCGAAGCGAGAGCAGAUCGAUUUUCUCCAGAGCCGGGUGCAGAUGUUGGAGGAGACCACAGAGAAGUUGGCUCAGGAUAGGCGUUACCAAGCAAAGGAGAUCAAGCGACACAUGCAGGAUCUGUGUUUUGAGAAGGAGAGAAGAAAGAAGCUGGAGACUGAGCUGGACACUAUGCGUACCAAUGAGAAACUCCUGAAGAGCAAAGUUGAAAGACUGGACACUGCCUUACAUAAGAUGUCAGACAGCUUUGCAGAGUGCCAGGAGUUCAUUCAGAAGCAAGAGCAAGAGAUCAUGAGAAUGAAGCUCCAGCAUGCUCUUGAAGUGAAGGAGCUGCAAGCCCUCAAUUCCCGAACCACAGGCAACAACAUCCAUAGGUCUGCCCUCACUAGCCCUACAGUUCCAGAAGAACUGCACACCUUUCAGAGCCCAACAACCUUUCUGUCCAACUCCGCUGGCAGAAUCAAGCUAAACAUCGAUAGCCAGCGGCCUAGUUGCCCUACUCUUGAUUUGCGAAGCCUGGUGAAGGAGCUACAGGAUGUGAUCAAUAAAGACCAGGUGGCUGACGUCAGCCGAAACACCAGGACAAGGUCUGAGGACAACCCCAGGGCUAGAAAUGAGCAGGGUCCGCUCCAAACCACUGACCUUGGCAAACUGGAUGUGAACGGUGCUUUUUCAGCUGCCAAUGUAGAGCAGAGACUGAGAGACAAUCGGCCAUUCUACAGAUCUUCAUCUUGUGUGGCAACACUGGGACGAAGAUCUCCAGUCCACUCCCUCUUAACCUCUGACCUCCCCACUGACCUGCUUAAUGGCCUUGAGGCAGAAAGCCACACCAGUGAUCUUCAAAUAUCUGUCAAUAACGGAGAUAAGCUAACAGGACAGACAGGCAUGCACCUACAAAGCAAGCUGGACAGUCUCCAAAACUUAGUAGAGGAUCUUCAAAUAAAAAAAAUCAAGAAAUGGCCUGCAUGAUAAAAAGUCUGGAAAAGAGGAUGAGAAGAGUCAGAGACAGAAGAGACCCUCCCAACAGAUGAGCUUCUAGACCACUAUGUGUCAGAGCAGAGAUUCAUAAAGUACUAGAGAUCAAGACUUGAGUAGAAGUACAAGUGCGGCAUCAAAAAAAGUGACUUACAUAGAAGUUGAAGUUAAGUUUUAGGUGCACUGUGUGAGGAAUCGUCCUUUGGCACAUGAACAGGAGACCUUAUAGAAGUCUUCUUUUCAAAUCCACAGAAAAACAGGCUGUGGAUAGUGGACUCCGUCAAACUGCUUGUCUCCCCACCCUUAAGAA